CUACGGGCGGCUGCAGUCGCGAAACCUCUACAAUGCGCGAAAGCGUGAUAGGGGGAUUUCAAGUGCCAACUUUGUUGGCUUUUACUAAGCUUAAAUCGCUUGGUGAAUAAAGGGGGGGCAAUAUACGUGCCAGCCGCCGCGGUAAUACGUAACCCCUAAGUGGUACCCAUUUAUAUUGGGCCUAAAACGUUUGUAGCCUGCUGAGAUAGUCCUUAGUGAAAAUUGCUAGCUUAACUAGUAAAAUUGCUAAGGAAACUGCUUAGCUCGAGACCGGGAGACGUAAAGGGAAUUAUUGGGAUAGCGGUGAAAUGUUAUGAUCCUAAUAAGACCACCAGUAGCGAAGGCGCUUUACGAGAACGGCUCUGACGGUGAGAAACGAAAGCUGGGGGAGCGACCCGGAUUAGAUACCCCCGUAGUC
rnacentral:rRNA from 1 species